rnacentral:pre_miRNA from 1 species
AAUAAGUGUAGUUUUAUACUAUUCAUUUCCAACGUUUAACCGUUCGUCUUAUUUGAAAUUUUUUUAUAAUUACUAUUUUUAUUGUUAUUAGAUGAUAAAAUAUAAAUAGUACUUUAUAAUUUUUUUAAAAAAAAAUCAUAAAUUUUUCAAAUAAGACGGACGGUUAAACGUUGGAUACGGAUUUCUACGGCUGCACUUAUU